GCUGCUGGUAGCCACACCCAAGACAGUUAAAGGCCACCGGGGUGACCGGGCCUGGCCUUGCCAGCUGGCACGAGGGAGGGAGCUCUGCACGUGCAAAGGCCCUGCGCACGGAAGCCUGCAGACUCAGGGCCGUGGCCUGGGCACCGAGGGCCUGCAGCUCUGGUGUAGACAGAGGUCCACCUGCCUGGAGGCCGCAGCCACUGCCUCAGGCAGCUGCUCCCCAGUCUGGCUCUUUAGAGGCCCCUGCCUCCAUCAACCCUCCCAGCCCAGGUCCUGAUGCCAGGUGAGGGGGCCUCGCCCUCAGAGGUGGGUCUGUGGCCCCCUCCCUGGACCCCACCUCCCCAGGAAGGCUGGUGGCCUCCCGGAGGGGGACAGUGUCCUGCAGGCAGCAGGCGGGUCUUGGCCUGAGCCCUGUCAGGAUUCACGUAGGACAUUACUUAGAGAACCACAGAGUUUCCCUUGGGAGACAGCCCUGCCGGGGUGCCAAGAGGAGGCCUGUGGCCGCCCGGGCUCUCUGCCUCUUGGAAUCUGAUCUCCCGUUUUGUUCGUAAGCCGCUGGCCUGACGAGCCGACCCCACUCAGCCUGGGCCGCCUGCUGAGGCCGCGGCCCUGGGGCGUUCUCGGUGGAGUUCCGCACUCACACGGGAAGGAGGGGCCGGUCCGAGGCCGUGGCGCCCAGCUGUGCACAGCCACCCCCACCCUGAUCCAGAUUCCCUGGGGCUUCGAUGGGACGGAAAUCCAGAUCUGAACCCCUCUUCCCGGUCUGCACUGUCAGCUUCCUGGACAGCUGAGGACCAGACGCUGCUGGGUCUGCCCGCCCCGCCUCCGAGCUGAAGCUGGGGCAGCCUCCUCGCGCACCCAGAACCAUCUGCUCCCUGAGCACGCGCCAUUCACAGCCAGGCCGGGAGGAAGGAGCCAUGAGCGGGCCUGAUGGGCAGCUCCUCUGCUGGGAGAAAGGGUGCCAUCUAGCCAGGAGCUGGGAGGAGCCGAGGGGCAUCUCCACUGCACGGCCCGCAGGUGAGGGAGCGUUUCAAAGCCCUUGUGUUCAGAGGGACGUCUUCAUUGGGUGGCCAGAUCGGGUCUGACUCACCCUCCGUGCUAAUCACCUCAACAGCUCUGCCCCAGAAAGUCGCAGGUGCAGGACUGUCGGAUUUUAAGCAGUUUCCUGCGGUGUCGGAAUGCAGGCGUCAGGAUGCCGUGGAGUCUGGCCACUUUCCCCAGCACCAUCGAGGAGGGUGACGGGUUUGCGCCGGUGUAGACAGCCGACUGCCCCACUCCUCCCACUGUGCCGCAGAGCCACCCCGGCUCUUUGACCCUAACUGUGCCUGGCUUUCUGAUUCCUGGCUUCGCAUCCUGGGGUUUCCCAGCGACGAUCAGCGGAGGAACCGUGGGGUCCCUGCAGGCCAGUGACCGGGAGGGCCUCCGGGAUGCCGGCCAGUGCCGCCUUCAAGGCUUGGCCGUGCCGUGGCAGUGGAUGCGAGGCGGACCUGCUUCAGUCCUGACCUC